rnacentral:ncRNA from 1 species
GAAAUCCUCUCAGGUAAUACCUAACCAGUAGCCUGUACCUAGUCCUUGGAACCGAAAUGGUAACAUUAGGUUUAAGCGUAGGACGGGGAGCAAACGAGCCGAAAUGAAAGUGAAGCUAUUGAGCCACGAAAUCAUUAUCUAAAUGAAGAGGUCGAUACUGUCCUUACGGUAGCAGACAACAUCAUACAAAUCGUAAUGGUGAGACUUGCAUGACUCUUCCGGGGUCUGAGGGCU